rnacentral:lncRNA from 1 species
CCGUGGUGCGGGCGCGUCUCGUUGCCGUAGCCCCCGUACUGCGGCCUCUCGUCGCCGGACUCGUGGGAGACGUGCACCACGUUGCCGUGGGCGGGCGCGCCGUAGCCUUCGUCGCGGCCGCCUCCGUACGCCGGAGCGGGGGCGUGGCGCCCGUAGUCACCCCCGCCGUACCCGGCCGGCGCGGGCGCGUGGCGCCCGUAGUCGUCCUCGCGCCCCCCACCGUAGGCCGGGGCGCGGCCGCCGUAGUCGUCCUCGCGCCCCCCACCGUAGGCCGGGGCGCGGCCGCCGUAGUCGUCCUCGCGCCCCCCACCGUAGGCCGGGGCGCGGCCGCCGUAGUCGUCCUCGCGGCCGCCACCGUAGGCGGGGGGCGGGGCGCCGUAGGCGACGUCGUCGGGGCGGCGGCCGUAGGACGGGGGAGGGGCGCCGUAGGGGUCGGGCUCUUGGCGGCCGUAGGGGGCGGGGGGGCGGCGGUCGUCGUCGUCGUCGUCGCGGCGGCCGUGGCCGUGGCCGUGGCGGUGAGGGAACUCCAUGAUUGAUUGGCCUGUCGGUGGUGGUGGUCGGGACUCGGGAAAUGGGAACGCGGGGGGGUGGUGGAGGUGGAUCCGAUCCGAGCCUAAAUAUGUCGCGUCGCCGGAGUACAUGUCGACGGGCGGGUGAGGUGAGCGCGCGACGUGGCGCCAAUGGGACGCGCUCGCACGACCGACCGACCGACCGGCCGGGCCGAUUCAAUUUCGCAACUGGGCGAUGGCGAUCGGUGGAUCGCCACGUGCACAGCUUUGCACUACACACGUCGCGGAUGGUGGAAAAAUCGUGGUCGUAUCUCAUCCGUUGUUUCUUUUCCUUCGGAUGCCGCGGGAGAUCGGAUCGUAUCAAGCCAAACCAGUCAAGUACCAGCUCAACAAAAAUCAACCGAGCACUCAAUUAUUGCUUGAAUUUCAAGAAGAAAAAAAGGGAAAAGGAGAAUUCGAUGUGGUGUGUACGCUGUGGCCCAAUGGUGCAGCUGCGAGUUCUGAUUUCUUGUUUGAUUGGGGUUGCAUGCGCGGAGGCAGCGGGCGCCAGACGGCGAAUCCUAUUUGACGCUGCAAGCGUCGGUUAAAGUGUAUUUUUCUUAACUGACGCCUGCAGUUUUCGGUCAUGGCCGACCCUUCGGGAGGCGGUUUUUCCGUCUUUGUGAAGGUUCCGCAAGCUUUCUAGAUGGAUUUUCUUAUUUAUGUUUUUUAGGACUGGUUCUUCUUUGGUUUAUCUUUUUUUCUUUAUUAUUUUUAUUACUUUUUCAUUUUCGUUUUAAUAUUUAUAUAAUUUUUACUUUUUGAAAAACGCAGCCAUUUCUUGAUUAACUUUUUCUCAAACGAACAAAUAUUUUUUCAGAUCAAUGAACCUUUUUCAGAAUUAUAUGUUCUUUUAUUAAAAUUCUAUGAACAUUUGUGAAUAUCGAUGAACUUUUUUCAAAUUAUGAUGAACGUUUUUCUGAUUGAUGAACUUUUUGAAAUGGAUGAACCUUUUUAAGAAUUGUGAAAAAAAAUUCAGUUCAACAAUUUUUUUAAAAAAAAAUCAAAUUCAUGAACUAAUUUUCAAAAUCCGUUAACUUUUUAAAAAUGUGAGAAGUUUUUUUUCAGAUCACAAUGAAUUUUUUCAAAUUCGUUAACUUUUUGUUUCAAAAUUGGUGAACCAUUUUUCGCUUUUAUGAACCUUUUAUGUUCUUUUUUUUUUGGUUUUUAUUAUAAAAAACCCACCUUGAGCCUGGGCCGGCCCGUUAUGCACGGUGUGUGGGCGCUAGUUCUCCUAGCUGGCGCUUAAGGCGCCGCCUCGCCGCUAUGAGCUCCCGGGCCAUACCCCCCCCCCCCACCCAAGGAACUAGUAGUAAUAUAUUGGCUUAAUUAUACGAUGGACUUAAUCCACUUGUUGACUCGUACCUGCUAAUCGAUCCACACGAUCAACGAUACGCACACACUAAUCCAAUUUGAUGUUAUCGACUCUUUCCUCGGCGACGCACCAGUCGCUAGGGUUUCAUUGACGCCGCCGUGCUGGUCGCCGGUUGUCGCGUCGGGCCGCCACCGCCGACCCGCUGUGCUCCGCCCGUCAUCGACCGUGCUGCCGCCGACCAUGCAUCAAUCGAGUACAGAGAGUCCACACAGGCUAAGAAGUUGAACGGCGCUGCCGCAAGCCCACACACAAUCCCUAACCGAUGCUGUGCAGCUGUGUUGUGAUCAGAAGACGAGGUCUUGAUGUAAUGUAAGGUGUACAAUUGUCUAGUGUCUACAGACCAGGUUUCAUAUUAUUGUGGUUGUCACUUGUUGGUUUGAUUCAUUCAAUAGAUCAAUUAAUCAAUUGUUAGUACUUAGUAGUUAGUAAUAAUUUAUUUUGAUACUUGUGAGAUCAAUUACAUAUUUUCUUUUUACUUAAUGGAAGAACUGAAAACUGCAUAGGUCAUGAAUAAGAGGAAGACAUCACCGAUAAGUAAUGGUUUCAACCAAUUGCUACAAACUCUAACUCUGCGAUUGAAAAUGCAAAUGCAAGUGUCAAGGUAGAUGUCACACAGCAACCCACUGGUCAUAAUGUCCCCAAUCUCAGUUCAGUUGAUAUGCCACCCCCCGAGCAAAAUAUUCAGGUAUCUGUGGAAGUUCUAGAACAGCAAAGAAUUGGAAGCACACCAUUUGAGCGAGACCCUGGAAAGCGCAAAUAAAUUUGGGAACUCCCUCUUGAGAAGCAAAAUGAAGCACCUUGAUCGUAAAUCUCUCGAAAACUCGUCACUAUAGCUUAUCUGUGGUGGCACCAAUACUGUUAGAGAUUGGAGAGCUAGUUUCCUCUUUUUCUUCCUUUUACAUUUAACAUGUAAAUCCGUCAUCCAACGUACCGGGCCAUCUUUGUGCAAAGUUUGCUUGCACACUGACGGUCAUCGAAAGUUGGAUGGAUUUGAGACCCUCUUUCCUGCUCAUCAGCUUAUUGAUUGAUGAUGCCAGGAGGCAGGAGCUCUUUUGUUGAAUAAAGCUCUCUGACUGGAACACAAAAAAAGACACAACCAUUCAAAAAUGAUUGUGACAUUUACAAAAGUAUUCACGCUCUUCAAACAUAUGUUCACAACAUUUUCAGGAAAUGUCUAUACAACAGUAAAGAAAGUUAUGUAACUUCAAAUAAAUUGUACUACCAUUAAAAAAACUUUGUGUCAUCAUAAAAAAGGUUCACACGUUUCAAAAACAUGUUCGUAUUGUUUUUCUACAUAUGUUCGUACCAUUCAAAAAAUGUUUGUGACAUUGAGAAAAAUGUGCAUGUGUUUCGGAAAAAAUGUUGUUGAUUUUUUUAUACAAAUGUAAAAAAAAGUUUGCUUAGUUUAGAAGAAAAAAUAUUAUACCAUAAAAAAUAUGAUCAAAUAUGUAUUCCAAAAAAGUUGGACACGUAUUCAAAAAAAAUGUUCAAAGCAUUUAAAAAAAAACUAAUGUGUAUCAAAAAUAGUUGCUGAUGUACACAAAAAUGUACAACAUAUAUGAAAAAAUAGACAUGUAUUGAGAAAAUGGGGAAAUAUUAAACGUAUACGAAAUAGACAUCUAUUGUGGCAGUUCAAGACAAUAAUCGUAGUCGUCAAAAGGUUCUUCCUUUGCGACAGCAAGAACAACUUGGUGGGUAAUUUGUCAAUUCUUAAAGCCAUUCAUUCACCAUCACUUGAUUAAUUUGUAACUCAGCUAAUUAGCCACUAGCUACGACUAACAUCACUUGCAUAGCUUGUGGGGCAUCACUUUGCUUUCAGCACAAGAAAGUACUUAUAGUUAAUAAGUUAUUUGAGCUAAGUAGCAAUCCAAUGUGCGACGUGGAGUUUCUCAGCCCGCGCUCAACUGAGCUCGAAUGAACAGUAAAAGUAAAGUGAGAAAAACUGCGGCAAACCUAUUUAGCGUGACAGGCAUUGCUUAAAGGAAAAAGUUGCUAACCGGCGCCUGCAGGGCUCCGUAAUGGGCGGGCCCAUGUUGAGAUCCUUCAUGAACUUUUUUUAGCCUGUGAAAUGUUUUAGCCCGUGAUCUUUUUUUGAAAUCGGUAAACUUUUUUGAAAAUCAAUGAUAUUUUUUGGAAAUUCAUGAACAUUUCUGAAAAUCAAUGAACAUAAUUUAAAAUUCAUGAUUUUUUUCAAAAUCAGUGAAAUAUUUUUAAAAAUUGAUGAACUUUUUCAAAAUCAGUGAACUGUUCUUAAAAAUUGAUGAACUUUUUUCAAAAUCAAUGAUUGUUUUUUCGAAUCUUUAAACUUUUUGAAAAUCCAUGAAAAUAUUUUUCAAAAAUAGGUGAACAUUUUCAUAAUAAUUGAACUUUUUUGAAAAUCUGAACUUUUUAAAAUUCUGUGAACUUUUCUCAAAUUUUUAGUGACCAAGACAUUUUUUACAUGGGAGGAGUGCUUCAGGCGCCGGUUUCCCUAACUGGCGCUGAAGGCGCCAAAUACGAGGGGACUUCCUAUACCGUACCUUCAGCGUCCUCUAAGCCAAUUGGCGCUCGAUGUACCUUCCUAUACCGUCCUAUUUAAACUUUUUAAAAAUCCAUGAACAUAUUUUUCAAAAAUAGGUGAACUUUUUUCAUAAUAAUUGAACUUUUUUGAAAAUCUGAACUUUCUAAAAUUCUGUGAACUUUUCUCAAAUUUUUAAUGACCAAGACAUUUUUUACAUGGGAGGAGUGCUGCAGGCGCCGGUUUCCCUAACUGGCGCUGAAGGCGCCAAAUAGGAGGGGACUUCCUAUACCGUACCUUCAGCGUCCUCUAAGCCAAUUGGCGCUCGAUGUACCUUCCUAUACCGUCCUCUUUAAACUUUUUGAAAAUCCAUGAAUAUAUUUUUCAAAAAUAGGUGAACUUUUUUCAUAAUAAUUGAACUUUUUUGAAAAUCUGAACUUUCUUAAAUUCUGUGAACUUUUCUCAAAUUUUUAAUGACCAAGACAUUUUUUACAUUGGCUGGCCCAUGAGGAGGAGUGUUGCACGCGCCGGUUUCCCUAACUGGCGCUGAAGGCGCCAAAUAGGAGGGGACUUCCUAUACCAUACCUUCAGCGUCCUCUAAGCCAAUUGGCGCUCGCUGUAUCGAAUUCAUGGGCCGACCAACGACGCGCAACACAAGCGCAAAAGUCCUAAAAAAUGAUGGGGAUUGAUCUGCGACGGCGCGCUGGCCCAAACUUUUGGCCGGCCGCGCGCGAGCGGCAGGAUCCACCAACCCCGCGUCGUCCGCACCAUUGGAUCCGCAUGCAACAUUUUUUUUUCCUAUGCAGCAAAAUUUCGAUUCGAUGCGAUGCAGCAAUUUUUUUAACGGUUGCAACAAAAAACAAAAAUUGUGCCAAAAAAAUAUUUACGUGAUCGUAGCAAAAAAAUAAAGCUGAUGGUACGUGGUAGCAAAAGUCAAACGCCGAUUGUAACAAAUAUUUAUGUGACGUGUAUGCAACUUUUUUAGUGAACAGUUGCAGCAAACAUGAUGCCGGUUGUAGCAAAAAUUAACACGGUUGUAGCAAAAAGUAAAAAACAUCGAUUGUAACGAAAAAUCCAACGAACUGGUGUUGCAACCAAACGUAUAUGCAGCUUUUUUACUGAAACAAAAAAUAGUAAAAAAACGCUUGCAGCAAAAAUGACGCUGGUUGCAACAUAUUUAGACGAAAAAUGUUGCAUCCAUUGACCAGAAAAGCGCGCGGGUGGAAAAAAUGUUGCAAGGACCCGCGCGCGCGAGGGGAUGACCGGCGCGCGGGUGGGAAACGAUUCCCAAGAAUGAUUGGGGCUUUGACUCGAACUCAGGUCCUCUCAUUCCUACAUCUUCUCUGCUAACCACUAGUCCUAGAAGCUAAUAGUAAUCAACUGAACCUCAAAAAUAUUUAAGAAUACUCUAGCCACGUAGUUCCAAAAUCUGAAAGUUCACAUAUUUUUAAAAAGUUCACGAUUGUUUUCUUAAAAAAGCCUCACGUAUUCGAAAAACAAAAUCACGAAAUUGAAAAUUCAUUAAUUUGAGAAUAAAAUUUCACAAAUUUUCAAAAAAAUCUCUAAUUUAAGAAAAGUUUGUAAGUUUGAAAAACGUUAACAGAUUUGAAAAUGUUCACAAGAUCCACAUAAGUUCACCAAAUUGUUAAAAAAAUUCAAGAAUCUUUAAAAAGUUCCAUCAAAUUCGAAAAAAGUUCAUCAAUUUUGAAAAAAGUUCAACGGAUUUCAAAACAAGUUCAUUGAUAUUUUUUUUUUAAGUUCAUCGAAUCUGCAACAGUUUUAUCAAUUUAAAAAAAGUUCAGUGUAUUUUCAAAAAAGUUUAUCAUUUUUUAUAAAUAUUUUGAACAAAAACUUGGAAAAGGUUCAUUGGAUUCGAAAAAGGUUCACCGAAUUUUGAAAAUUUCAUCAAGUUUAAAAAUAGUUCACCAUUUCGUAAAAAGUUCACAAAUUCAAAGGAAAAAAAUCAUCAAUGUUGGAAAAAGUUCAUUGGUUUUUCUAAAAAAAGUUCAUUGUAUUUGAAAAAGUUUGUCAAAUUUGAAAGAAGUUCACUGAACUAGGAAAGAGUUCAUCAAAUUUUAAAAAUUGUGGAUGGAUUAAAAAAUAAACGACUAAGAAAGAAGGAAAAUUAAAAAGAAAAUAAAAACAAAAACAGAAAACAGAUAAAAGGAAAAAUGAAAAAAGAAGAAACAAUGAUAAGGUAAAAAUGACGUAUGUUGACACAUCAAGGAAUGUGGUUACCACUCUUCGCACCGAGCUAGGAGAUCCUGGGUUCGAAUCCUACUCCUUUCCAAUAUUUGAAUGAACAGACAGACGUAAAUGGGCUAACCGGCGCCUGCAGCAUUAAAUAGGAAAUGCCGAAAUGACGAAUAGGAGGUCCCAAAAAACUGUGUGUGCCUGUGCUAGAUUGGGUCAGGCGCAUGUCUGCCUCGCGCACUAGGCUUGGCCCAUCAUCGGUGUGCUUGAGACGAGGAAGUCUUAAGCGAGACAUAGAGGCUCUCACGAAGUAUAGCAUUGUGGACUGGAGUAGAAUAUAGUUCUUUUAAGCUAAGCCUAACCCCCUUUAUGGCCCAAUACAUAUAUAAACACUACACACUCUGUGCCGGCCUACAUGCACUGACCCGAACUUGUACUCGAUCUGGUCAUGGCCCACAAAAUUGGAUCAUUCUACGUUCGAUUCUCCUUUUCUGCUGAAAAAAAUGCAAGACAAUAGAGCAUUUUUUAGGAAGCAAUACCACUAUAUAUGUUGUCAUUGCAACAAUCUAUUAUAUUAAGAGCAUCUACACCCGGACCCCUCAUACAUGUCUCAAACGCCUCGACAGGCCGUCCGACCAGUGAUCGGUCACAAAAACGCGACCCAACCGAACCUCUUAAAUCCGUCUCAAACGCCCGAGCUGACCGGCACUGCUCAUAUCCGGCCCAAAUAUAGGGCUGAUAUGGGGCGGUCCGGUCACACCGGGUGUGUCUGCCCGGUAAGCCCGGUCCAACACUGACCCCACCGUUGUCCCACAAAAUCCCCACUUUGGCCGCCUCGUUCCGAACUCUAGCUCACUCUCUCUCGCUCUGUCCCCUCCUCCCCCUCUUCGAGUAUGAUCCCAUCGUGUCCAAUGUCGAUCUCCGACAGCCGCUCCGGCUCCGACGGUCGCUCCGGCUCCAACGGCUCGGACAUCGACCCCGAGGAGUUGGCCCUCCGCAUCGCCUUGGAGCGCGGUCCAAGGUGGAGACGGCCGGAAGCUCCGGAUCUAGCGCUUAGCCACUGGUCCCGCGUCGACGGAUCUAUGACAUCGAAGCGGGACCCUCCCGGCACGCGAGCAGCUCCGUCGGGACUGCGUCCGCACCUGCCCUGCGUGCUGCCCUUUCCCCGCCGGCCGCUCCUCCACGCGGGCAUCAUUGGGUCCUAGUACCCGCACCAUUGGCCUGCACGGGCACUCCGGAAUCGGAGGCGCGCACCGCCCACCGUGAGAGGCAGCGGGCAAGGGAGAGGGAAACAAAGCAGUCUGUGCGCCACCGUCGCGAGAUGCCGGCUGAGCCCGACAAGGACGAACGCCUCCUCGCAUGGGUGUACCUCGGGUCCCUCACGACGGCAGAGACGAGUGUUCGACACCUUCGUCAGAAGAACGCCAAGGCGUUUCAGCUUGCUAUUGAGCAGUCGGAGCGCGAAGCGAAGGAGCUAGCGGAGGAGAAGGCUCGACUCGCCAAGAUGAAGCGGGAGCAGUACAGGGCCGUCCGUCGGAUGAAUGGCCUCAUCGUCUUCUUGGACUCGGACUCUGACGACGGCAACAACGACACCUCGCCCUUUGACCCUCCGCCAGCCACGAACGGCUACAACUGCGUCGACGACCCACAGGGCAAAGGGCCAGCAAGGAAGUGGUGAUCUGCCCCCCCCCCUCUACGCAUUAUUUAUAUACUCCCUCCGUCCCAAAAUUCUUGUCUUAUUGUCUAAAAAUGGAUGUAUCUAAGUACUAAAACAUAACUAGAUGCAUUCAUAUCUAUACAAAUGUAAGACAAGAAUUUUGGGACGGAGGGAGUAGUUUUUAGUUGUAGUAACGUAAGAAAUUUGUCCGAUGAACUUGAGAUGAUCUUGUGGCUGAUGUUUGAUGUCCGUUUGAAGUUGAUUUUGUGUUUGUGCGUUUUUGAUUUUGUUGUCCUAUGUUUUUUCACGUACAAUAGCUCAACGUUGCGUGGGUAGUACGGAUAUGGGUGUCGGAUAUAAGACAAGCGGAUGUGAAAAGGAAAAUAUGAAACGCGUCUGGCCAGUGUACGAGACGCGACCGUUUGAGGGGUUAGAUUUGCAAGUUACGACUAUAGAUGCUCUAAAUACUAUCUUUCCUGGUUAAAAAGACACUUAAGGCCCCUCCCCACUUCACCUAUGUCUUCGGUUUUGCCGAUUCUUCUCAUUGAUUUUUCUUAAAAGACACCUCAACUGUCUCAUGUAUUUUUAUAGCUUAGCAAAUAAAAUUAUGUUUUCGUUGGUAUGUCUAUAGGUGCUAGUUUAAUUGACAGUCGAUAUAUUAGCAGUUAUGGCGAAGCCACAAGUUCAAAGUUAUGAUCUCAAUUCAUAAUUGUGACCAAAUACGUGUGUUUAUAUGAUUUUUUUUCUUUCUUGAUUUCUACUUAUAUGUGUUGCUUUUGCACAAAUACUGUAUAGUCAACUGACUACACAGAACACAUGUGGAGUCGUCAUUGUGUAAUCACACUUACACACUAUCAAUAAAAUGACGGGUAAAUCAUGAUGAGUGCGUGCAAAAUAUUUAUGCCUCGUUGCAACACCAACCAUUAUCUAAUAGUAGUAGUUAAGAAACAAUAUCCCUGGUCCUCAAAAGGUUCUCCCUUUGCGGCAGCAAGCACAACUUGGUCAGUAACUUGUCAACUCUCAGAGCCAUUCAUGCAUCAUCACCUGAUUAAUUAUUAUUUUUAACGCAAUCACCUGAUUAAUUAAUAACUGGUGAGGGUAUAUCCGUACACAUGCAGCUCAGCUAAUUAGCCACUAGCUGCGGUUGACAUCACUUGCAUAGCUUGUGGGGCAUCACUUUGCUUUCAGCACAAGGAAGUGGUUAAUUAAUCACUUAUUUGAGCUAAGUACCAAUCCAACGUGUGCUUUUGCUUCGUCUUAGGAAGCAGGUUAUGGAGCUGUCUCGUUGAUACCUAGCUACUUGGCACUUGCAGUGGUCAAACACUUGGUAGAAAACAUUUUUUAAUUUUGAGCGUGUUCAUUCUGAUGGAUCGAGAUAGCUUGACCCCUUCAAGUUAUAUGUAAUAAUGCACAUCGAUUGUACAAGCAAAAGGCCGAUUUAAUAUACUCAUGGCAUUAUAUUACUCCGUUGCAUUACGUGAGAGAAUUCUCAAUGAUGAGUGCCAUGCAUGCACAAGGUGAAAAAACAACAAAAACAAUGAAGCGUGCAUGGUUGAUCAAGGUAUCAGUUUACCAUCCCAUUGUUUUUUUUAUCUACCGGUGGUCUACGAAUUCAUAUGUGCUAGUAUUCAGUUGGUAUAACCAUAAUCAGCGAAAAAUUCGAUGGGGCAUCAUGUAUCCGCAGCUUAGUUAUACGCAUACAUACGUAAAAUAUUCAACCCAUGCUACAAAAAAUACUUUUAUCCAUGUGGCAAUCUUGCAUUGCUCCAUAUAUAAUUUCUCAAAUAAAUUGCUAAGAUAUAUUUAAUUAUUAGAUACACGCAUGCCUAUAUGGUUGUUUAAUUACCUUUCACAACAUUUAGUUACUUUUUGUCAAUAACAUUUAACAAAUGUACAACUUGUACUAGUAAGUACGUACAACAAACAAAAUGUAGAUAUAUUGUUACCGCGACGCAUCGCUCAUAGGAGUGGACACGAAAUAGAUAGUGAUAUUGGGCAUUGCUAUUUUCUCCUUAUUGAAUUAAUAUCACAAUUGAUUCGUGUGUACAAAAUAUGAGCAUGACGCCGAGCAGUUGAGUGGCCCCAAUGUGAAUUUAUUUCUAACACCACCUACACCCCAAAUCUAAUGUUGUUAUUCAUGACCAAGUAAUCUUAUUAUUUAUGUGCCUCGUGAGUUUGCUCUUCAUAUUCGGGUUUGCAUUUGUGCAAAUGUGAGCUUCAUUAUCUUCAUGUAUGUAGAUCCGGGUUCCCUCUGCUAUGAUACCAAUUGUAGGAAACCUACUAUGUGAUGGCUUUGAUACCCAUAAUACUUGAGAACCUUCACACUCUCAAAUAAUGGGGAUAACUCGAUCUUUUAUUCACAACCACUAAUAGAAAAACUACUUUACGUGAGAUACAUUAGUCCCUGUUUGUAAACGGACGGGCACUAAUGUGACCAUUAGUGCCGGUUUAAACGGCUAGGGAGGCGCGCAUCAUUAGUCAUGAUUCGUGUUGAACCUCUAGUACCGGUUCGUGACACGAACCGGGACUAAUGGAGUGGUGACAGGCUGGUGUCUGCCUGCUUCAACUCAUGAUACUUGGUACAAACUUUAUUGGUGUCUACCUGCCAUUCUCAUUCAUAGCGGGUCCUACUACUACCUUGGUUCUCUUUCUACCUUGCUUAGUUUGGUUUAUCUUAGGAGGGGAGUCCAUCCCUAUCUAGAGUUGCACAUGACCAUUAGAUUGAUGGCAGGUGGCAACCAUCCAAAACCAAUGCAGUCAUUGCUCUCUGAAUAACCUAGAAAACACCCUACAAAUAUCUUAUAUCUAGUGUUCUCUUUAAUUUGCCACAUAAUUUAUUCAAACAUUUGUUCUAGAACCACCGAGAGAAAUAACAACUCAUGUGUAUUAAUAUCCAAAUGAUCUAGAAGUUUCUUAUCUUUGAGAUGAAUAACUUCUCUAGUAUCCUCCAUGGCAAAUAUCUUGACGUUCUCGAUUCUUAGAAAUAUCUUCAGUGACCCAAGUAUGCAUUGCAUAUUAUCAACAAUAGGAAAUCGAUAGAGUAUCUCAAGAAUGUAAACAACUAUCGGCUAUGGCAUGUCACCGUAUGAGGCCAAAUGGUGUGCAUAUGUCAACAUAGGGAGGAUAUCUAGUGGCCAAGCACUCCCGGUGCUGCCAAUGCACAAAAUCACCAUUCUAUUACUUUCUUUUUUCUUAAAAUGUUAAGUGAGUCAAUAAGAUAUGUUUGUACAAUGUGUGAAAUUUUGAAAUCAAUUCAACCUACAUAUGAUGGAGAAGCAAAAAUAAAUAAAUAAAUAAAUAGAAAUUCAGCCAUGAUGGUGUUUGUAUUUUGAUUUUUUAUAAUAUUCAUAGUUGGAUUUAUCUUUUUCGAGUAAGAUGUUUUUAUCCUCUAUCUACAUACUCCCCCUGUUCCAAAAUAAUUGUCUUAAUCUUGUACUAAUCUUAGUAUAAAAUUAUACUAAUUUUGAGAUACUUAUUUUGUGACGGAGGAAGUGGAAUUUUGUGGUGCCGACCUCUUAGGUGGGACACACACAUGCUUCCAUCGAUGUCCAUGCAUAGGAUGAUGGGAAUAUCAGCAUCUGUCAUUUUUUUUCUAACUGUUUUUACUUCUUCCUUUUUCCAACUAGCUUAGCCUAUCAAUUGCUUGUUCGUGUACAUACUUGUGUGUCUCUCUCGAUAAACUUGUCGUUCCUUGGGUGCGAUGACUUCGCAAGGAAUCCAACCUUUCUACCAGUAAAAAAAAAAAAGACAAGCCAUUGCUCUCCUCUUUAUUUUAAAGUACAUGCACUUCAAUUAUGCACGUCUCUUCCCCCUAACACGAGCAUGCAUUAUAAGUUGCUACUAUUCUAUAAGCUCCAAUUGAUUCAUCCAAAGUCCAAGAUUUGGUUACAAUAAAUAAGGAAAGUAAUUUUAAACUAAUACGAAUUUUAUUCAAUGAAUGUUCACAAUUUACAUCCUAGUUCACCCUACAUAUACAUACAUAUACACACAAGUUAAACAUGCAUCUACAAUCAGUUCUACCUAUCUUGUGACAUAAUUGUGUUCUUCUUCUACUCCGGCCUAUAAUAUCUUACACUAAUCAAUUAACUUUACACAAUAUACGGUACUAAUUUAGCCUGAUCUACAAAUUAUGCAUGAGUAAUAUCCCCCUCGAUCCAUUGAUCGACCGGCAUCAAUAGUGAAUAAUUGAUUAAUAUGUCUGCAGUCAAAUCGCUAGCUAGCUUUCUCCUAGCCCUAAUUAUCAAGGUAGCAUGCAUGGAUCAUAUCCUGUCCUGCUGGGAAGGCUGGUCUGGCCCAAAUAUGGAGAAGCCGCCGUUCAUCAUCGUCAUGGACCCAUCGCUACCCAACCACCUCUUGGAAGCGUGCAACGACGACAUUUCACCAUCGUUAUUGCUGUCCGCCGUCGCCUGCCUCUUCCGCGCCGUGCUGGCCUCGCCGUCGCUGGCCCCAGCAGUGGUGCCGAGGAAGAACUGGCCGACGGAGGUUGCAAUCUCCGGCUGUGGCGGCGGCAUGCUGUCGAAGAGCUCCGAGACGGCUGAGUAGUCCACGAGGUAGUCGGAGAUGGACGGGUUCCUCGGCAGCAUCCGGGAGGAGGAGGAGGUGUCCUCUUGCUGCUGAUGUUGCUGCUGCUGCUGCUGCUGCUGGUGGUGGUGGUGGCCGUGGCCGAGGCCGAGGGUGGCGUCCAUGGACGACGGCGACGGCGACGGCUCGUAGAAGGGCGACAGCUGCUGCGGGUUGGGCUUCUUGUAGAUCCUGCACAGCACCCAAUCAUCCAGCUGCACGCACACAAGAAGGUGAAUCAGUGCCACACACGUGUGUGCAUGUAUGUUGCAACAAACGGUCGCUUGCUAAGCUUGACAGGUAGUUGGUGCUGGUUAGCUAGUAGGUUGUGGCUUGUAAGGUAAUAGUGCAAGUCUCUUUCUUAGGGAAGGAAGAUCCCAGCGGUGAAAGAAACUAUAGCUAAUAGGACGGACAGUGGCUUCCUAGCUCAUUGACCAGGUUAGUUGCUUGCUCGAGCUCAACUCACUGACAUCCACGCACACGCAACUAAUAAGAAGAGAACAAAAGAUUCCUAGCUAGCUCCAACGAGAUGCCUUCCUCGUUAAUUUGCAGCCGCAGAAAACAUGCAUAUGCAUGUGUGAUCAAUCAAGAAGAAAUAAUAAAGCAUGAAAUUACCGAGUACAACAAGAUGAUGGAGAGAGCCAUCGCAAAAAAAGAAAAAAAGAAAGAUGAUGGAGAAAGAGUUGUGCAUGCAUGCGUACCCUCAUGGAGGACGAGGCCUUGAACCGCGUGGGGGGCCGGUAUGUGUGCGCGGCGGCGGCGGCGGCGGCGUGGGCGUCGGCGAGGCGGUACUCGUGCAUGAUCCAGUUCGUCUUGUGCCCCUUGGGCGGACGGCCCUGGUAGAACACGAGCGCCUUCUUGACGCCGACCAUCUCGCCGCCGGGCACGCCGCCGGCCGUGAUGGGCUUGUCGGUGCCGGUGGCCUUCCAGUAGCCCGACCCGGCGGCGCGGUUGGGGCGGACGCCGUUGGGGUACUUGCGGUCGCGGGGGCUGAAGAAGUACCACUCGUCGUUGUCGCCCUCGAACACCGCGCGGGACGGCAGCUCCCACGGGUCCAGCUUGUAGAUGUCCACCUCCGCGAUGACGGCCGCCGGGCACGGCGCCGCGGCCGCGCGCCUGCGGAGGUAGUGCACGAUCAGCUCCUCGUCCGUCGGGUAGAACCGGAACCCCGGCGGCAGCCCCGUGCCCGCCGGCGCCGGGAGCGACGUCGGCCUCGUCUGCAGCUCGAUCGUCAUCACACACACCCGAUCGAACGCUCGGUCAGGGGCUCAAGGCGGCGAGGGAAGGGAAGGGAAGGUGGGUCGAGAGUCGAGACGGAGGAGAACUGAAAUUUUCGGAGGUGGAGGCGACGGGUGCGGUUAUAAAGGCGCCGAGGUGCUCCGGCGCAUGGCAGGCUCUUGUAAUUCUUGGCCGCCGGUGACGAGAGGGAUGAUGAUUGCAAGGGCCCUGCCGUACGUGCGCGUCCAUCCAUAUCACGUCAUCGGCGCUCGCAGGCUCACGUACUUGGCCAGAAUCUUCAAUUUGUUGGAAUAUUUUCUCUCUUUUUUGUGCCAUGUGAGAACGAGAGAGUGGGGGAAAAUAUAUCCGAAAAAGACAUUAGCAGAAUGAAUGGAUGAAAAUUGUGCAAAUGAUUGGAGAAGUUGGAUAUUCGGCUCGGUUUGUAGGACCGGGAAGCGUUCAUGGCCCAGAGGAAUACCAUAGCACAUGAAUACCAGGUACGGUGUUUUUGUGUGUGUUUUCAUUGACCACGCAGGAAUAGCUACUCCUAUGCAUGCAUGCACUGAUGCACAUGCAUGGUGCCAUUUGCUGCUGGCUGAGACAUUUCAAAGAAAAUUAGUAUUAUUCAUUGCUGAAAUGCAAAGCUCGGAAAAUCAUUGGAGUUGUCAUAGACUACAAACUACAAGUUGAUUGAAUUCAGAUCAAGAUUUUUGUAGGCCCGGGAUUAUCCGAUCUUCAUUUAAUUCUGUUCAUUGCUAAAACGGAGGGACUUAGGAGUAUGCAUGCACAUGCAUUAGAGUCAUCUGCUGCUUAGCUGCUAGCCGAGACAUACAAAAUUAUAUUCCCUGCUGGUAUGCAAAACCAUUGGAGCUGUCUAGACUACUAAUUGAUUGAAGUUGCUUAAAUAUCUCCAUCAAACUCUAAGCAUUCAGAUCAAGAUUUAAUCAUUUUCAUAAAGCGCACGAAGGUUCUACUUGCACAGUUGAAGAGUGAAAUUUAAGAACUGGUAGUGCGCAAUUUGUAGUAACUGAAUCCAAAAGGAAAGGUACCUACGGGCG